rnacentral:lncRNA from 1 species
UUUGGCCUUGCAAUCUCCAAUUUAAGAAAACACCUUAAUUCUCCAAAGUAUUUGAUCGUAAAAUUAUUUGGUAAAUAGUUCUUAACUUUCUAUAUUUUCAUAAAAUCAAUUCAAGUUAGAAUAAUAUCAUGAACAUAUACCAUUAAUAUAACCUUAUUAGAACAUGAAUUCUUAAUGAAUAAAGAGGACAUGAAUUAUUAAUGAAUAAGGAGUAACCAUAACGAGUUUCUCCAAAUUCAUGUGAGAGUAAUGAUCUCUCGAGCUUAGAAAACCAUUGCAUGCAAGCCUGUUUUAACCCAUGAGUGAUUUCCUCAAUCUGCUACAAGUACCUAGAUUGGAUGAAUUAUCAUGUAGGCUUCUUCUGAUAAAUCUAUGUGUAGAAACACAUUUGAAACAUCAAUUUGAGGUAGAUUUAGGUUCUAUGCUACAUCUACACUACAAGAAACCGCAUGUUUAACGACAGUUUUUUCUCUAUUUUAACAGCAGUUAGUUCAUUGUUAAAAAUCUUAAAUCCGCCGUUAGAUUAAGUAAUGGUAAAUAAGCUAACGACAAAUUUGUAUCCGUUGUUAAAAUAACAGUGGAUUUUAUCCACUGUUAAAGGUAAUAACAACGGAUUUUGUCUGCUGUUAAAGCUAACAAAACAUAAAGUCUGCCGUUAAACUUUCCGUCAAGUAAUAAAAAAAUGUAGAAAUCCAACUGGGUUUCUGCGUUCGUCUUCAUCAUUCGUCAUUCGUGUCAGACUGAGCUUUUUAUUAUCUUCUUCUUCGUCCUUGUCAAUCAUCAUCUUCAUCUUCUUCUUCUUGAAAUAUUCUUUUAUUUUUUUCUUUUUCUUCUUCUUUAUUGAUUAUUCUCCAUCUUCUUUUUCUUCAUCUUGUUUUAUAUUGGUUCUUCUUCUUUUUCUUCUUCAUUAACUUUUUUUUAUCUUCUUUUUCUUCAUUAAAUGUUCAUCAUCAUCUUUUUUUUUCUUCGUUAUCUUCUUCUUGUUCUUCUUGUUCUUGUUCUUCUUCUUGUUUAUCUUCAUUGAAAAAAUAAAGUGCAAGAAAAUGAAAAAAGAAAAAUGAAGAAAAAUUUAAAGAAUGAAGAAUGAAGGAGAU